GACAGAGGGUGCAAACGUUGUUCGGAAUUACUGGGCGUAAAGCGUGUGUAGGCGGCCUCGCAAGUCGGAUGUGAAAGCCCUGGGCUCAACCCAGGAAGUGCACUCGAUACUGCGUGGCUUGAGUAUCGGAGAGGUUGGUGGAAUUCUCGGUGUAGAGGUGAAAUUCGUAGAUAUCGAGAGGAACACCGGUGGCGAAGGCGGCCAACUGGACGAAUACUGACGCUGAGACACGAAAGCGUGGGGAGCGAACAGG
rnacentral:rRNA from 1 species